GCAUGUUUGUGGCUGGAAAUUUUCUUUUUUUUCUUCUUGAACCUUCACUUGAAAGAAAACCAACUAGUCUAUUUCAAUUUCUGAUGUACAUUUGAAGCCAUAUAUCAAUACAACGAAAUGUCAAACUUUGCAGAAACAGCAAUCCCAACUUUUCGACGACAUUUCCUCUUCUAUCAUGUUAGUAUUUUCUCAGCUCUCCUGAAGCCACCUUAAGCACAACGAUUUUUGCACUCUCUUGUAGCACGAAAAAGAUCAGUCAGUCUGUAAUGUCUAACGUAAGUACACAACCGGAAGUAAAAAUCCUCUCUUUGCCACCAGUGGCACACAUUCAACCAACUAUACAGCAAACCAUCAGCAACACACUCAACUUUGAAGCCACCAGUCAUUGUCCUGAUAUGUGUAUUUUCGUUACAGCCGAGUUUUACAACUACAACCAUCUGCUGACAUCAAUAGUUUCUAGCCUUCUAAAGCAUAUGUUGGGACCUCGAGCAUGUCUUCAUCAGGGGAACAGGAUACUGUAGAGUCCAAACCAUUUGAUUUAUCAAAUUGCAGGAUCCUCAAUUUUCCUUCCUUAGUUCCAUAUACUAGGCCACCACCAACCAAAGGAUGGAAACAAGCAACGUUAACCUCAUCCUCUGCACUGGGAAGAACUCUCACAAGUUCCAUAUCCGAAACUCUAUAGACCUCAAGAAUAGUGUAGACAGGUAGAGUUGUAUCUCCAUCGAUCACAAUACUUUUCAGAAGUGAUCCAUGGCGACGUCCAUAGGCAAGUAAAAGAUGCUCAGAAGUUGGAGAGAACUGAAUUGAAGUCAAACAAUGAGCAGCU
rnacentral:misc_RNA from 1 species